AGACCCGAAACCCGGUGAUCUAGCCAUGGGCAGGUUGAAGGUUGGGUAACACUAACUGGAGGACCGAACCGACUAAUGUUGAAAAAUUAGCGGAUGACCUGUGGCUGGGGGUGAAAGGCCAAUCAAACCGGGAGAUAGCUGGUUCUCCCCGAAAGCUAUUUAGGUAGCGCCUCGUGAAUUCAUCUCCGGGGGUAGAGCACUGUUUCGGCUAGGGGGCCAUCCCGGCUUACCAACCCGAUGCAAACUGCGAAUACCGGAGAAUGUUAUCACGGGAGACACACGGCGGGUGCUAACGUCCGUCGUGAAGAGGGAAACAACCCAGACCGCCAGCUAAGGUCCCAAAGUCAUGGUUAAGUGGGAAACGAUGUGGGAAGGCCCAGACAGCCAGGAUGUUGGCUUAGAAGCAGCCAUCAUUUAAAGAAAGCGUAAUAGCUCACUGGUCGAGUCGGCCUGCGCGGAAGAUGUAACGGGGCUAAACCAUGCACCGAAGCUGCGGCAGCGAACGUAUCACUUAAAGCGAUUCAGCGGGUUACGAUUGACGGAGCGAAGCGACGUCAAAGCGUAUACAAAGUCGAGUCGGU
rnacentral:rRNA from 1 species